GUCCGUUCCAGGGAGAUCCCCGACAAGGGGCUGAGACACCGAUGGACCGGCCGCGGCCGGUCAGCGCGGAAAUCCUUCGAACCUGAUCCGGCUCAUACCGGCGUAGGGAUUGGACGGGGUCCGCGGA
rnacentral:ncRNA from 2 species